rnacentral:tRNA from 1 species
CGGGGUGUAGCGCAGUUUGGUUUAGCGCACUACCUUGGGGUGGUAGGGGCCGCCAGUUCGAAUCUGGCCACCCCGA